GCCACUGCUGUUUUCAGAGCCAGUAGUAGGAAAUGGCUUUACCUUUUCCGGCAAAAGUGCUUGUUGACCGAAUGCAACUCAAGCCUAGUCAGCAAAGAAGCCCAAAAAAUGUGGUUUUCAGGCUUCCAAGAGCAACAGUACAGGCAAACUUUUCCAGGUAGAGAGUGGCAGUGAAGCACUAGAAACUUUGGGGAAGGAAGGCAAGAAAAUCACCAGUGUUCUCAUCUAACCAAUUAUAAUGGCUAUGUUGGUUUUUUUUUUUUUUUGUAUUUUCUCUUUUAGGCUAUUCUGAUAUUUUUACCUAGUAGGAAGUACAGUGUGUAUUUUAUUUCAGUUUUUAUUCCCAUUUUGUUUACUUAACAUUUUGCAUUUUUCUAUAUUCCAUGUAGUGAAUGUACCACAAUUUAAUUUGCCCAUUCCCCUGGUUUUGGGUAUGUAGGUUAUUCACUGACAUUUUGAGUAAUAUUUUUCAAUCCUAUAUUAAUAUUUGCCUACUGUGAUCAUAGCUACUAAUUGUAAAAUUCUAUUGGUAAUCAGAUAUUAAAAAUCCUUUGUUACUUCAGCCAAAUGACUCAAGGCCAACAUUAACAAUCAUAAUUCAUGUUAAUGGUAUAUACCCUUAAUACGAUGUGAUGAAAAUGGCACUUUGCCUAUGUGAUUUUCUUCCCUCAGACCUAUAGCCCCAUAUUCUAAUCAUGAGCAAAACAUGAGACGUUCUGAAAAAGACAUCCUACAGCAUACCUACCCAAUACUCCUUAAAACAACCGAAGUCAUCAGAAACAAGGAAAGCCUAAGAAACUGCCAGAGCCAAGAGAAACUCUUAGCCAAGCUAAGGAGACAUGACAGCUAAAUAAACGUCAGGUGGAUUUUGGAACAAAAAAAAAAAGGAUAUUUGGUGCAGAGAAAGGAAAUCUGAAUGAACUGUUGAUUUUAGUUUAUGAUAAUGUGUGAAUAUUAGUUCAUUAGAUUCAAACAAAAGUACCAUCCUAAUGUAAGGUGUUAAAAACGUGAUACUAGGUGCUGUGCGUAUGAGAACACUGCGCUGUCUUCUCAGAUUUUCUGUAAAUGUAAACUUGUUCUGGAAAAUAAAGUCUUUUAAUAAUUUACCAA